CUUACCAUGCAAGUCGCACGGGCAGCAAUGUUCAGUGGCGGACGGGUGAAGUAACGCGUAGGGAAGUGUCCAGAGGUGGGGGACAACCCCGGGAAACUGGGGCUAAUACCGCAUAUGGCCUGAGGGCCAAAGCAGUGAUGCGCCUUUGGAGUUACCUGCGUCCGAUUAGGUAGUUGGUGGGGUAAAGGCCUACCAAGCCGACGAUCGGUAGCUGGUCUGAGAGGACGACCAGCCACACUGGGACUGAGACACGGCCCAGACUCCUACGGGAGGCAGCAGUGGGGAAUAUUGGACAAUGGGCGCAAGCCUGAUCCAGCAAUGCCGCGUGGGUGAAGAAGGUCUUCGGAUCGUAAAGCCCUUUCGGCGGGGACGAUGAUGACGGUACCCGCAGAAGAAGCCCCGGCUAACUUCGUGCCAGCGCCGGUUAAUUCAAAA
rnacentral:rRNA from 1 species